GACGAACGCUGGCGGCGUGCUUAACACAUGCAAGUCGAACGGAAAGGCCCUGCUUUUGUGGGGUGCUCGAGUGGCGAACGGGUGAGUAACACGUGAGUAACCUGCCCUUGACUUUGGGAUAACUUCAGGAAACUGGGGCUAAUACCGGAUAGGAGCUCCUGCUGCAUGGUGGGGGUUGGAAAGUUUCGGCGGUUGGGGAUGGACUCGCGGCUUAUCAGCUUGGUGGUGGGGUAGUGGCUUACCAAGGCUUUGACGGGUAGCCGGCCUGAGAGGGUGACCGGCCACAUUGGGACUGAGAUACGGCCCAGACUACUACGGGAGGCAGCAGUGGGGAAUAUUGCACAAUGGGCGGAAGCCUGAUGCAGCAACGCCGCGUGCGGGAUGACGGCCUUCGGGUUGUAAACCGCUUUCGCCUGUGACGAAGCGUGAGUGACGGUAAUGGGUAAAGAAGCACCGGCUAACUACGUG
rnacentral:rRNA from 1 species